rnacentral:rRNA from 1 species
GACGAACGCUGGCGGCGUGCCUAAUACAUGCAAGUCGAACGCAGUUGCGAACGGGUGAGUAACGCGUAGGUAACUACCUAUUAGAGGGGGAUAACUAUUGGAGACGAUAGCUAAUACCGCAUACUAGUAGAUGGACCUGCGUUGUAUUGGCUAGUAGGUAGGGUAAUGGCCUACCUAGGCAACGAUACAGAGCCGACCUUGGAAGGUGAACGGCCACACUGGGGCUGAGACACGGCCCAGAAUCCCACGGGAGGCAGCAGUAGGGAAUCUUCGGCAAUGGGGGGAACCCUGACCGAGCAACGCCGCGUGAGUGAAGGAGGUUUUCGGGUCGUAAAGCUCUGUUGUUAAGGAAGCGGUACUUAACCAGAAAGGGACGGCUAACUACGUGCCAGCAGCCGCGGUAAUUC